UUUUGAGAGCCUGCGUGCUCAUGCUUAUCUUCUUGGGGUAAACCCUAGCCGCCGAUGUUCCCGGUUGGUCUCGCUUGUACCAAAACCUUAGUUAACUUUCCUCUGAAAUUCAGCCCUGAAGGUGCUAGUUCUCUGAAUUUUGAGUGUAUUUCUGAAUUUUAGUCCGUCAGACCAUCUGGGUCUGACAGAUCCCUCUCCUCCAUCGAGUAGCAGCGGCGGCGUGGGACGCAGCGGGCUCGGCCUUCGUUGGCGGCGGCAGGGUCCCUCUCCUCCCUCGACCAUCGGCGGCGGCGGGGUCCCUCUCCUCCCUCGACCAUCGGCGGCAGCGCGGGAAGCAACAGGUGACCAGGGACGCGGCGCUGGGCGCAGGGCGCGGCGGCGAAGCUGAGGGAGCCGGGCCUUGUGGCACGGGGGCGCGACGAUGCCAUGGGCCAUGGCGGCUGUGGGGUGGAGGGCGCGUGCGUGAAGGCGGCGCGUUCCUCCGGCUUCCGGCGUGCCGCGGCAUGGACUUCCUUGCUGUCGCCAUGCUCCCUGAUGCCAGCUCCUCCUUCCUCCCGUCCCAGGACAUGCACAACACCAUCCCAUGUCCUCUGCCCGCUGGCCAGAGAAAUCCAUUGGUGAGCAAUAUGGGUGAUGCAUGUGAAUGGAUUGGGACUGCCAUCUCCACUGCACUGAAGGAGAUCAAGCCCAUUUUCAUCAGCAUCAACUGGAACCUCCCCUAGGCCUGCAUCCUUGUCCAUUCUUUUUUCUCUCCCCGAGGUAAGUUGGCAUGCUCCCUUUCGUGCAUAAGGACGAUGAGACGGGUAUCAGGGUAUGGGUUUGGUAUUACUGAUGUUGAUGACCUGCUCACUUGCCAGACUGUCAAACCAGAUGAGCCAGAAAGGAACUAAGAGAAAUGACUAUUCAUUUACCAGUCUUGUCAGCCUCUGUAUUGUCAAUUUGUCAUUCGACUGAUGCUUGAAUGUAUUAGUAGACAAAAUGACAUGUUUGUUGAUCAACUAUGAUAUGUGUUUCCACUGUCUACUUGCCGCCUUCUGAGGGGCAGAUUGAGCUUGAGAAGAUUUUUGCGAAAACAUAGUGGUGCUCUUGCUCUGAUGGAAAUUGAGAGUAGGGUGUUCCAAACUAGAUUGAUACAUGUAGGAAUUUGUGACUGAGUUUUAUGCUCAGAGUUAGAUACCUGCUCUCCACUCUUCACCUAUCCUAGAACUUGCAUUUCAUUUUUUGUGUUGCUAUAAUCUGUCCAUUAAUCGGUAUCUACCUCCAUUAAUCGGUAUUCUAGCUGAAAGUUUCAAAGUUGUCAAUUGUUUUCGAAACUCGGUUUUCAGAGUAGCUGGUCCUUUUUUGGGACAUAUUUGUUGUGUCUUUUGCCCAUUUUGUCUUGUAUUUUGUCAUACACCGUUCAAUUAGCUAAUUGUCAUUAUGCCAUAGCAAACUUGUGCAACCUAUUGCCGCUCUGCCAUGGGUCACAUGGCCAUCCUUCAUACACCGCUUCACUAGGACUAACCCCGAAGUACAGAUGAUGAAAAUUCCAAAAGAAGUUGCCUCAUGUUUGGAUACCCCGAAGCACAGGCUGGCGAGACUAAGUUUGGGCAAAGAGAGCUUCAGGAGGACCGAAUAUGACACCUCACUCGACUGUCGCAUAUUCUUCAAGCAAGGAUGGAAGGAGGUCCUCACGAGACAUGACAUGAGGUUGACACUGUUGUACUAAUUACAUUUAAGACCAUCGCCAACAAUGAGUUGGAGAUUAUAGUCAUCCUUUUAUGUCCUCUCAGAAGAUCAUGUUGGACGAGUUCGGGGCUUUCAUGAGUUAUUUAGUCAUUUCUCUGCGUUUUUUUAAACCAUGGAGGAGAACUGCAUGUGAACUUCAUAGAUACGAGAACUGCAUGGCACGUACAAAGUUCAAUUCCUCUUUUGUUUAUUUUGUUUCCUCUUUGUCUACAUACUGGUUUUUGAACUAUGUUUUGUGAAUCGGAUGUAUAUAGACAUGUUUUAGUGUGUUU